rnacentral:rRNA from 1 species
GACGAACGCUGGCGGCGUGCUUAACACAUGCAAGUCGAACGGAAAGGCCCUGCUUUUGUGGGGUGCUCGAGUGGCGAACGGGUGAGUAACACGUGAGUAACCUGCCCUUGACUUUGGGAUAACUUCAGGAAACUGGGGCUAAUACCGGAUAGGAGCUCCUGCUGCAUGGUGGGGGUUGGAAAGUUUCGGCGGUUGGGGAUGGACUCGCGGCUUAUCAGCUUGUUGGUGGGGUAGUGGCUUACCAAGGCUUUGACGGGUAGCCGGCCUGAGAGGGUGACCGGCCACAUUGGGACUGGGGUACGGCCCAGACUCCUACGGGGGGCAGCAGUGGGGAAUCUUGCACAAUGGGCGGAAGCCUGAUGCAGCAACGCCGGGUGCGGGAUGACGGCCUUCGGGUUGUAAACCGCUUUCGCCUGUGACGAAGCGUGAGUGACGGUAAUGGGUAAAGAAGCACCGGCUAACUACGUG